rnacentral:tRNA from 1 species
GGAUCGGUGUCCGAGUGGUUGAAGGAGCACGCCUGGAAAGCGUGUAUAGGGGCAACUCUAUCGAGGGUUCGAAUCCCUCCCGUUCCGCCA